CCUACGGGUGGCAGCAGUGAGGAAUAUUGGUCAAUGGACGAGAGUCUGAACCAGCCAAGUAGCGUGAAGGAUGACUGCCCUAUGGGUUGUAAACUUCUUUUAUAAGGGAACAAAACGAGGCACGUGUGCCUUUUUGCAUGUACUUUAUGAAUAAGCAUCGGCUAACUCCGUGCCAGCAGCCGCGGUAAUACGGAGGAUCCGAGCGUUAUCCGGAUUUAUUGGGUUUAAAGGGUGCGUAGAUGGGUUGUUAAGUCAGUUGUGAAAGUUUGCGGCUCAACCGUAAGAUUGCAAUUGAUACUGGCAGUCUUGAGUACGGUAGAGGUAGGCGGAAUUCGUGGUGUAGCGGUGAAAUGCAUAGAUAUCACGAAGAACUCCGAUUGCGAAGGCAGCUUACCAGCCUGCCACUGACAUUGAUGCACGAAAGUGUGGGUAUCGAACAGGAUUAGAUACCCGAGUAGUC
rnacentral:rRNA from 1 species